GAUGAACGCUGGCGGCGUGCUUAACACAUGCAAGUCGAACGGAAAGGCCCAAGCUUGCUUGGGUACUCGAGUGGCGAACGGGUGAGUAACACGUGGGUGAUCUGCCCUGCACUUCGGGAUAAGCCUGGGAAACUGGGUCUAAUACCGGAUAGGACGAUGGUUUGGAUGCCAUUGUGGAAAGUUUUUUCGGUGUGGGAUGAGCUCGCGGCCUAUCAGCUUGUUGGUGGGGUAAUGGCCUACCAAGGCGUCGACGGGUAGCCGGCCUGAGAGGGGGUACGGCGACAUUGGGACUGAGAUACGGCGCAGACUCCUACGGGGGGCAGCAGUGGGGAAUAUUGCACAAUGGGCGCAAGCCUGAUGCAGCGACGCCGCGUGGGGGAUGACGGCCUUCGGGUUGUAAACUCCUUUCGCUAGGGACGAAGCGUUUUUGUGACGGUACCUGGAGAAGAAGCACCGGCUAACUACGUG
rnacentral:rRNA from 1 species